rfam:Borrelia duttonii CR2A Contig0001, whole genome shotgun sequence.
GCUGAUGUAGCUCAGUUGGUUAGAGCAUUCGGCUCAUAUCCGAGAGGUCGUGGGUUCAAGUCCCUCCAUCAGCA